CUGUGAAAGGGGCUGUCCCCUGCGCUGUAUUUUUCUUCCUCCGAGUGUCUCAAAAGGCAGCGUCAGCAAGACUUUCCUCCUUCUAUUUCAUAGAAUUGCUCCUAUUUUCACCUCUUUUUAUAUCCACAGAUAUCCAGCAACAGAAAGGAUGGGCAGUAGGUACCUUUACUACCUUGGAAGCAGUGUGGAAACAGGGCAAUAUAAGAGAUUCACAAAACAAGGAGACAAGGAUGCCAAAUAAAAGGAGGUAAGGAUUGAGAUAACUACAGAGAAACUGUAGCAAUGCCCAUAAUACUGUCUGCAAGAGCAAUGUCAGAAACAGUAAUGUAAAUGAUUGUAUCAGUCCUUCAGUUGAUAUAGGAACCAGGGAAAUAAGGACACUUAACUGGACGAUGCAGACACUGGAGCACAGCUCUGUGAUGGGACCUGACUUCUACUAGGUGAGAUCACAGUGCCUGAGGAAAAAGACAAGAAAGCACUGCUGCUCUUUCAGAUAUGACAUGGAGCUUUCUUUUUCUCACACUGCCCUCAAGCAGACCACUCAUACAUGUCCUGUUUUCAAUGAAAAACACAUGUUUGAAAUUUUAUAAAUGAAAGCUGCUAAAGAAAACUGCUAUUAUGAGUAGAUUUUGAUACAUGUUUUACAUUCUUUGGGGUCUGAGAUCCCAUUUGAAUCAGAACUGCUGUCUGCAAACACCCUGCUGAAGUCAGCAGAAGAUGAGGAUUUACUGUAAUCACUACAGCACUGGGC
rnacentral:lncRNA from 1 species